CCGGGGCGAAAGGAGCGACGUAAAAUUAAUGUACUGCAGCAAAAGAUAAAGGGGGGGAGCAAAAACCUGCUGGUCGGGGCCAAAAAAACGGGAGGAAAACGAACCCGAGCUCCGUUUUUCCCUUCUUUCUAAGGAAAAGUACUGGUGAGGAAGGAAAGCUGCCGGCCCAAUUAUUUCGUGGUGAGUCACGAGCCGCCCGCUGCCGCUGUCACCUCGCUGGCACGGGGCUGGGGCGGGCAGCAGGAAGCCCAGGGCCUGGCACAUCCCCGGGGAACGCGGUCGGGUGGCGGCAGCUUUCAUCCCGGGGUGCCAAAGGACGCGGCCCGGGCGCACUGGGGUUUGCACAACCCCUGGGAGGGGAGAGGGCUUCGGGCCCCGACCCACUUCCCGGCCACCGAGCGGACCCCUGGGGAAAGCUGGGUGGAGGAAAAAUGCAAAGAAAAGUCCGAUUUUGGGGCGGUUUUGAAGGCCUUUGUCCCGCCGGCGGAAAGAAACCACAGCGCAGGGAAAGGGCACUUCGUUCCCACGUCCGAGACUCUUUUCUGCCCGAUUCGGAUCAAAAAAAAGGCGCUUGACCCCAAGCACGGCCUGGCCGUCCCCCCCGGCGCCUCACGGUGAAUUUUCCGUCUCCCCCCGGUCCCCCCCGGUGCCCCCCGGCCCCACCUUCUGCGCCUGGUCAUGGCUGAGCUCUGUGAAGAAGUACGCGAGCAGAUGGGACGCGAUCAUCGCGGCUCGGAGCGGAGCGGAGCGGAGGCGGCCCCCAGCAGCGCGCGCCCCGGUGCCCGCGCGCGCCCCGCAGCCUCAUUGAGGAUUCCCCCGGCCCCCCCGUGACGUCGUCCCCCCCGCCGCGCCUCCCCAUUGGCUGAGCCGCGAGGGAAUUGAAGCUGCAUUUCAAAGGAAAGCGAGGGGCAGCAGCGAGCCAAAGAGACCGCGAGGAACGAACCCGAGCCCGACGCCUUUCAUUUUUCCGGGCACUCCGGGCCCUUCCUGACCUUUCCCAUCAAGCGAGAGCCGGUGUGGGGCAGGUUUCGGCUCCGGCUGCCCCGUGGCAGGGGAUGAUUCCUUUUAAUCUUUCCGGCGUGACUCCGUUUCGCUUCCCCCUCUCAUCCAGCUUUCCGCUAAAGACCCGAAUUCUCCGCGGUUAAGCCGAAACGCGUCGCCAAGCCUAAAAAUAGCGAGGCACAUCUGGCUGCUUUUUUUUUUUUUUCACGUGUUUUACGAAGGAAGAGGCUCUACGUGCAAAAUCAGAAACCCGGCUGCCAUCUGCCCUGCCCCCAAACUCCCCAAAUUUUGCCUUCCCCAGUCCCAACCUCCCCCAAACCGGCCGGGAGGGCAGCGCGGGAAUUCCUUUGCGCAUGAAGCCGGGGCCGCGCUCUGCCCCGCGCCUGUCUCCAAACAGUGUUUUCUGUUGAGUUUGUGAAUUUGAGUUUGUGAAUUAGUUGAGUUUGUGAAUUUUC